rnacentral:rRNA from 1 species
UGGGGGAUAUUGCACAAUGGGCGAAAGCCUGAUGCAGCGACGCCGCGUGGGGGAUGAAGGCCUUCGGGUUGUAAACUUCUUUUGCUCUGAACAAGGCGCACCAUGGGGUGUGUUGAGUGUAGGGGUUGAUUAGCGCCGGCUAACUACGUGCCAGCAGCCGCGGUAAUACGUAGUGCGCGAGCGUUGUCCGGAAUUAUUGGGCGUAAAGGGCUUGUAGGUGGCUGGUUGCGUCUGUCGUGAAAGCUCAUGGCUUAACUGUGGGUUUGCGGUGGGUACGGGCUGGCUUGAGUGCAGUAGGGGAGGCUGGAAUUCCUGGUGUAGCGGUGGAAUGCGCAGAUAUCAGGAGGCAUACCGGUGGCGAAGGCGGGUCUCUGGGCUGUUACUGACACUGAGGAGCGAAAGCAUGGGGAGCGAACAGG